rnacentral:rRNA from 1 species
UACGUAGGCAGCAAGCGUUGUUCGGAGUUACUGGGCGUAAAGGGUGUAUAGGCGGCCUGUUAAGUUCCGUGUGAAAUCUCCCGGCUCAACCGGGAGGGUGCGCGGAAAACUGGCGGGCUAGAGUACGGGAUGGGAGAGUAGAAUUCCUGGUGUAGCGGUGAAAUGCGUAGAUAUCAGGAGGAAUACCGGUGGUGUAGACGGCUCUCUGGACCGUAACUGACGCUGAGACACGAAAGCGUGGGUAGCAAACAGG